rnacentral:rRNA from 1 species
CCUACGUGAGGCAGCAGUGGGGAAUAUUGCACAAUGGGGGAAACCCUGAUGCAGCGACGCCGCGUGAGUGAAGAAGUAAUUCGUUAUGUAAAGCUCUAUCAGCAGGGAAGAAAAUGACGGUACCUGAGUAAGAAGCCCCGGCUAACUACGUGCCAGCAGCCGCGGUAAUACGUAGGGGGCAAGCGUUAUCCGGAUUUACUGGGUGUAAAGGGAGCGUAGACGGCAGUGCAAGUCUGGAGUGAAAGGCGGGGGCUCAACCCCCGGACUGCUCUGGAAACUGUACGGCUGGAGUGCAGGAGAGGUAAGUGGAAUGCCUAGUGUAGCGGUGAAAUGCGUAGAUAUUAGGAGGAACACCAGUGGCGAAGGCGGCUUACUGGACUGUAACUGACGUUGAGGCUCGAAAGCGUGGGGAGCAAACAGGAUUAGAUACCCGGGUAGUC